ACACAUGGAACCUCCUCCAGCUGUAUCCCUGUUGAUGCUCUUUAGUCUUCUGACUCUGGGUUCCUCUGCAACUCCGAACUAUAUUUCACCAUCCAUGGCAGCUGUCUCAGCCAUUCAUCCUUGAAGUUUCAUCCUUAAACCUCUCCGCUUUUGUUCUGGUCUUCUUAUGUACAAAAUGAUUCCCAAAGAAGACAGUGAAUUCAUGCUGUGUCACUAUGAAUUUGUGGAAGGAAGAUCAGGUUUAAACAAGAAGUAACAGAAAGAGCAGAAAAAGGCAACACACUGGAUGUGGAAUACAUGGACUAUCAGAAAGCCUUCAAUAUGGUGCCAUAUAAGAGACUCCAGACAAACGUCAGGGCAUGUGGAGUUGGGCCAUGUAGCAGAAUAGAUUGAGAUAUGGCUACAAAA